rnacentral:lncRNA from 1 species
CAUCUAUCUCUGACCACCAUCCAGUCCCAUCCUUCAGCUCCCCUCAACCCCUCCCAUCUAUCUCUGACCACCAUCCAGUCCCAUCCUUCAGCUCCCCUCAACCCCUCCCAUCUAUCUCUGACCACCAUCCAGUCCCAUCCUUCAGCUCCCCUCAACCCCUCCCAUCUAUCUCUGACCACCAUCCAGUCCCAUCCUUCAGCUCCCCUCAACCCCUCCCAUCUAUCUCUGACCACCAUCCAGUCCCCAUCCUUCAGCUCCCCUCAACCCCUCCCAUCUAUCUCUGACCACCAUCCAGUCCCAUCCUUCAGCUCCCCUCAACCCCUCCCAUCUAUCUCUGACCACCAUCCAGUCCCAUCCUUCAGCUCCCCUCAACCCCUCCCAUCUAUCUCUGACCACCAUCCAGUCCCAUCCUUCAGCUCCCCUCAACCCCUCCCAUCUAUCUCUGACCACCAUCCAGUCCCAUCCUUCAGCUCCCCUCAACCCCUCCCAUCUAUCUCUGACCACCAUCCAGUCCCAUCCUUCAGCUCCCCUCAACCCCUCCCAUCUAUCUCUGACCACCAUCCAGUCCCAUCCUUCAGCUCCCCUCAACCCCUCCCAUCUAUCUCUGACCACCAUCCAGUCCCAUCCUUCAGCUCCCCUCAACCCCUCCCAUCUAUCUCUGACCACCAUCCAGUUCCCCAUCCUUCAGCUCCCCUCAACCCCUCCCAUCUAUCUCUGACCACCAUCCAGUCCCAUCCGUCAGCUCCCCUCAACCCCUCCCAUCUAUCUCUGACCACCAUCCAGUCCCCAUCCUUCAGCUCCCCUCAACCCCUCCCAUCUUCUCUGACCACCAUCCAGUCCCCAUCCUUCAGCUCCCCUCAACCCCUCCCAUCUAUCUCUGACCACCAUCCAGUCCCAUCCUUCAGCUCCCCUCAACCCCUCCCAUCUAUCUCUGACCACCAUCCAGUCCCAUCCUUCAGCUCCCCUCACCCCUCCCAUCUAUCUCUGACCACCAUCCAGUCCCAUCCUUCAGCUCCCCUCAACCCCUCCCAUCUAUCUCUGGACCACCAUCCAGUCCAUCCUUCAGCUCCCCUCAACCCCUCCCAUCUAUCUCUGACCACCAUCCAGUCCCAUCCUUCAGCUCCCCUCAACCCCUCCCAUCUAUCUCUGACCACCAUCCAGUCCCAUCCUUCAGCUCCCCUCAACCCCUCCCAUCUAUCUCUGACCACCAUCCAGUCCACCCUUCAGCUCCCCUCAACCCCUCCCAUCUAUCUCUGA